CAACAACAACUUGUCGGGGCCAAUUCCGUCGGGUAACCAGCUCCAAACCUUAAAUGAUACAUCUAUUUACGAUGGUAACAAUGAACUAUGUGGGCUUCCCCUCGAGAAGAAAUGUAUACCACCUCAAACUCCAACAUAUGUUGAUAGAAAAAGCAAAGGAGAAGACAAAAGAGAUGGAGAUGGGUUCAUAACAAUUUGGUUCUACCUCGGCAUGGUAUCUGGGUGUGUGGUGGGGUUUUGGGGUUUUUGUGGUGUUUUGUUGUUUAAGAAGAGUUGGAGGUAUGCUUAUUUUCAAUUUGUUGAUAGCAUCAUCAUUGGCGACCGGUUGGUUUAUACAGCUGCUAGAAGAAAAGUCCGACGAAGACGCAAUUAAAGCGCAAACAACAUUUGUGUUUUUUGUAUCUAGUUUGGUCUAAACCUGACGGGUUUGUCACAUACUGAUCAGGAUGUAUUACUGUUGGAUAAUUAAUAAAAUUUCAUUUCAUUUGGGUGAUUAUUGUUCUCUAGUAGUAGAUUUGCAAACUAUGUUUCUCAGAUGCAAGAUUUUAGUUUAUCCUAGUUGUAUUAACAACAGUCUUGGCCACAAAAUCAGAGCAUAAAUGAUAGAAGCAAAAUGUAUUGGCGCCUUACAAGCGAACAAAUGAAGUUUCUGAAACCGGCACGAAGUGGUUUGACAUCAAUUUUGUGACAAAGUGUCUUUGGUUAUCUCGCCUUGAGUUCAUUGUUAAGAAAAUCAAGAUGUACGCAUGGUCGUCUCGUGUCUCUUGGUUCUGUCUAGGAAAAGUUAUUGGGUACUGGACGUACGUACCUAGUUAGGACGUACGUACGUCCACUGAGGCAGCAAACAUCUUUUGGUCAGGACGUACGUACGCAGUUAGGACGUUCGUACGUCCAAGCAGGCAGCAAACUUUUACCGUGUGGGGACGUACGAACGUUGAUUCGACGUACGUACGUCCAAUAUUUGCUUUGCAUUCAACUCAUUUGAAGGUCGUAUUCCUACAUCUCUAACCAAAUUAUUUGCUUUGCAAGUACUAGAUCUUAGUCAGAAUCAAUUGAGUGGUGAAAUUCCCAUGUCUUUUGGAACACUUUCCAAAUUGAAAAAUCUAUAUCUUGGUCAGAAUCAAUUCAAUGGGACAAUUCCUACAAGUCUAGGACAACUUUCACACUUAACAUACUUAAGUCUCGAUGCGAACAAUUUUCAUGGUGUAGUAUCUGAGUUGCACUUUGCUAGACUCUCUAAAUUGAAAAGGUUGGCUUUGAGCAACAAUUCUUUGUCUAUUAAAAUAAGAUCUAGUUGGGUACCUCCCUUUCAUCUCGAGUACCUUUUGUUAGAUUCUUGUGACAUUGGACCUCAGUUUCCGAAUUGGCUACAAAAGCAAACGGGUUUGUACCGUCUGUUUAUGUCUAACUCAAACAUUUCAGAUUCUAUUCCAAAUUGGUUUGAGAACCUUACCUUCCUAACAUUUCUAGAUCUUUCUGGUAAUCAGAUGUAUGGAAAGGUGCCUAAUUUUAUUUCCCCAAAUAUUGUGGAGUUGUACUUGAGUUCUAACAGAUUUGAAGGUUCAUUUCCCCAAUUCCCUUCAUCCUUAAGAUCUUUGGACCUUUCUGAUAACAUAAUUAGCGGAUCUAUCCCAACAGACAUAGGUUAUAGGCUCCCUGAGUUAGAAUUUCUUCUUCUUUCCAAUAACAGAUUUAAAGGUUCAUUUCCCCAAUUCCCUUCAUCCUUAAGAUCUUUGGACCUUUCUGAUAACAUAAUUAGCGGAUCUAUCCCAACAGACAUAGGUUAUAGGCUCCCUGGGUUAGAACUUCUUCUUCUUUCCAAUAACAGUAUCAAUGGAACCAUCCCUAGUUCACUGUGUAAAAUGUUGUCCUUGAGAUAUCUCGAUUUCUCGAAAAAUCAUUUAUCAGGAGUUCUCCCCAACUGCUUAGGUGAUUUACAGAGAGUUGAGGUUAUAGAUUUAACAUCCAACAAUUUAUCGGGAACUAUUCAAAGAUCAUUUUGUCAUCAAUCGGAGUAUCUAACAUCAUUGCACUUGAGCAAAAACAAUUUUCAAGGAGAGUUUCCUUCGGGUUUACAAAACUGCACAAGUUUGAGCAUUCUAGAUGUCAGUGAUAACAAGUUUUCUGGAGAGAUUCCCACUUGGAUUGGGCAAAACCUAUAUUCUUUGAGAAUUAUGAAGUUAAGCUCAAACAGGUACAAUGGUAGCCUUUCUCCAAAGCUAUGCCAUUUGAAUCAACUUCAAGUGUUGGAUGUUGCAGACAAUAAUCUGUCUGGGAAUAUUCCGCACUGCUUUGGCAAUUUCAAUCAUAUGCUCUUCAAUCAAACAAAUUUCAGUCGCUUUUCUUCUGAAGGUGGAAACUACCAAGACAAGUUAUCUCAAGUAAUCAAAGGAAGAGAAUUUGAAUAUACAAAGAACCUGCGAUUUGUAACCAACUUGGAUCUCUCUAAUAACAUUUUCAUCGGUCAGAUUCCUGAACAACUUACAAAUCUUUCUGGAUUGAAAGGUUUGAAUCUAUCAAGAAAUCAUUUGAAAGGAAGCAUCCCAAAAAAGAUUGGUCAGAUGAGGUCACUGGAAUCUCUUGAUUUAUCAAAUAAUCAUCUUUCAGGCACAAUACCACAAAGCAUUUCAGCAUUAACACUUGUAAGCUACUUGAAUUUGUCGAACAACAACUUGUCGGGGCCAAUUCCGUCGGGUAACCAGCUCCAAACCUUAAAUGAUACAUCUAUUUACGAUGGUAACAAUGAACUAUGUGGGCUUCCCCUCGAGAAGAAAUGUAUACCACCUCAAACUCCAACAUAUGUUGAUAGAAAAAGCAAAGGAGAAGACAAAAGAGAUGGAGAUGGGUUCAUAACAAUUUGGUUCUACCUCGGCAUGGUGUCUGGGUGUGUGGUGGGGUUUUGGGGUUUUUGUGGUGUUUUGUUGUUUAAGAAGAGUUGGAGGUAUGCUUAUUUUCAGUUUGUUGAUAGCAUCAUCAUUGGCGACCGGGUUGGUUUAUACAGCUGCUAGAAGAAAAGUCCGACGAAGAAGCAAUUAAGGCGCAAACAACAUUUGUGUUUUUUGUAUCUAGUUUGGUCUAAACCUGACGGGGUAGUCACAUACUGAUCAGGAUGUAUUACUGUUGGAUGAUUAAUAAAAUUUCAUUUCAUUUGGGUGAUUAUUGUUCUCUAGGAGUAGAUUUGCAAACUAUGUUUCACAGAUGCAAGAUUUUAGUUUAUCCUAGUUGUAGUAACAACAGUCUUGGCCACAAAAUCAGAGCAUAAAUGAUAGAAGCAAAAUGUAUUGGCGCCUUAUAAGCGAACAAAUGAAGUUUCAACCAAUAUUGUACAGUUAACUUUGAUUUUUGAUUUUUGAUUUUUGAUUUUUGAUUUUUGAUUUUUGUGAUGGAUGAAGAACUAGGCCACUAUUCCUUUUGUGUAAAUUCCGUAUUAAUAUUACAUUCUUCAAAUGCAUUUUGCAGAAAUUUAUUCUUCAGUCCACAUCAAACAGACCCUAAUACAAUGAUGAGCUAUGCUGAA
rnacentral:lncRNA from 1 species